AGAGUUUGAUCCUGGCUCAGAGCGAACGCUAGCGGCAGGCUUAACACAUGCAAGUCGAGCGGGAUGACUUCGGUCAUCCAGCGGCGCACGGGUGAGUAACACGUAGGUAACGUACCCUUUGGUGAGGAACAACCCAGGGAAACCUGGGCUAAUGCCACCUAUGUCCUUCGGGAUGAAAGUCGAAAGACGCCAGGGGAUCGGCCUGCGGCCCAUUAUCUAAUCCUAGUUGGUAAGGUAACGGCUUACCAAGGGUACGAUGGGUAGCUGGUCUGAGAGGAUGAUCAGCCACACUGGGACUGAGACACGGCCCAGACUCCUACGGGAGGCAGCAGUGGGGAAUAUUGCGCAAUGGGCGAAAGCCUGACGCAGCCAUGCCGCGUGAGUGAUGAAGGCCCUCGGGUCGUAAAGCUCUGUCGGGAGGGACGAAGGGUGGCAACACUCUGACGGUACCUCGCAAGAAAGCACCGGCUAACUCCGUG
rnacentral:rRNA from 1 species